CGGUCUUCCGGCAAAAUGGCGUAACCAUUUUUGUUUUUAGGAUUCCAUGAACGUAGAAUGAUGUGAAUUGACUUUUGAAUUUUGCGGCUUGCGGGAUAUGCUGCCGUGGUAGCAUGAGCGAGAAUGGAACGGGCCGUCCCCUGAUAUCCGUCUUGAAGUCGAGGCCAGAAGACGAAGACCCCCAGAAACCCCGUCAGCGAAAAGAGGAGAAGGUCCGAUUCAACGACGAAGUGAGCUACGCACCAAGCGUCGGGGGCUCUGCCGAGAACACCAGAUCGUUCUUUUCGAUACGUGAAAACUCGUCAGAACCCUUCCAGUCGAAACUCCGAAGGGAUAGCUUCGGCAAUGUGAAUGAACAGAUGCAGCUAGAGAACAAACGACGCUGGUGCUGCAGAUGUGGAUGCCUGUGUUUAAACAAAAAAACAAACAACAUCUUGAGAUGAGAGUUCUGGUCAGCUGCAUCAAGAGGACGAAUUUUCUCCCGCAACCGGAAAUUCUUGGUGUGAUUAUGGAACAGCCAGAUGUUGAAGGUGACACUUAAGCUUAAAGACAUGAAUUACAAAACAAAACAAAACAAAACAUAACCUGAAAAGACAAAAAGAAACAAAGAAGAAAAAGAGAUGAGGAUUCUUUUAAACUUCUCAAGUAUAAUCUUUAAUUUGACUUUCAGUAAUUAAACACGUUUUUUUUAACAGGGGAGGAAAAAAAGGUUUUAUUCUUUAAACAAUACUAUACCUACAUUAUGGUUGUUGUUUUUUUGCUUGUUUUUAAUGUUUAGAAUUUGAAUUUCGAUAAAAAUAUUUAUUGAGCACCUGAAACCUACUCUACAAAUUAAGAAACUGCUAUUUAAAAAUUCAAUAUCUAUUUUGGGCUUAGUACAUUAUAACUGCUGGCCAGCGAUUAAAUGUUUGGUGACGAAGCUCUCGCCAAAGUACACGGAAUUUUUUUCACGUUUACAUGGACAUGAUUGUAAAUCAAGUCUGUUUUUUUCCCUCUUUAAAUUAUGUAUGUACAAAAAUUAAUAAAUUAUACCUCUUUUAAUACCAGUUAUAACAAGGUGUCUUUUGCAUGAAUUUCAUGUUGAACUCUUUCUGUUUUGGAAAUAAUUUACAUGUUGUUGAGUUCAAAACUACCGUUCAAAAAGGAUGGUUAGC